CCACAUACUAGAAGGCAAAACUCUCAUUGUCUAAUUCGUCAGGUCUUGCCACUCCAAUUUCAGGCCAUAUUUUGUUCUUCCACUGAUCUAGACAAACUACUACUAUAAGAGUAAGUGCAACCAGGAACACUAAUCGAAGAGAAGUCAGAGCAAAGAACCAGAAGAGGCCGUGCGCCGCCGCCCACCACAGCGCGCUGCGGCCCGGCCGCUCCCACACCAGCGCGGCCUGCGCGGCGCUCAGCAGCCGCUCGUAGGGCCCCAGGCGGCCCCGCAGCGCCGCGCUCAACUCCUGCACUCGCCGCUGCCUCUCGCCGGGCCGCGCCGCCGCCAUGGCUCCUUCCCGGCAUCAACAUCCGGCCGCCGCCGACAUGGC
rnacentral:lncRNA from 1 species